GAUGAACGCUGGCGGCGUGCCUAAUACAUGCAAGUAGAACGCUGAAGGAGGAGCUUGCUCUUCUGGAUGAGUUGCGAACGGGUGAGUAACGCGUAGGUAACCUGCCUGGUAGCGGGGGAUAACUAUUGGAAACGACAGCUAAUACCGCAUGACAACAGUUAUUGCAUGAUAACUGUUUAAAAGGGGCAACUGCUCCACUACCAGAUGGACCUGCGUUGUAUUAGCUAGUUGGUGAGGUAACGGCUCACCAAGGCGACGAUACAUAGCCGACCUGAGAGGGUGAUCGGCCACACUGGGACUGAGACAGGGCCCAGACUCCUACGGGAGGCAGCAGUAGGGAAUCUUCGGCAAUGGACGGAAGUCUGACCGAGCAACGCCGCGUGAGUGAAGAAGGUUUUCGGAUCGUAAAGCUCUGUUGUAAGAGAAGAACGAGUGUGAGAGUGGAAAGUUCACACUGUGACGGUAUCUUACCAGAAAGGGACGGCUAACUACGUG
rnacentral:rRNA from 1 species